rnacentral:lncRNA from 1 species
GAAAAAACUGCUCCAAGUUCAGUCCACUGAUACUAUUUCCUUUUACUACCUUCAGGACCACUCUAGGAAAGGACCAUAGUGCUAUCCACUUUCUGCACCAUAUAAUGCAGAACUAUCUGCAAUUAAUCACAGAUAUUUUUCUCAACAUGUCAUAAAGAUUGUUGCCUUAGAUCUGAGCUGAGAGGUAGGAGGCAAUGUAGUCCUAGAGAUGGUAGGUAUCUAGGCCACUUGUUCACACAGUUUACUUGUGCCUUCAAAGACCAAUUAGAGCUUAAAUUCAUAUAUAUCACUUCCCUUUAUGAUAGAGUGCUCCUAGGCAUGGCCAAACUUAUGAUUUUCUGGAUCAUAAUAUGUCUAGUAUAUUAUGGGCAUCUCAGGUUGCAGGGUAAUUUGAUAGGUUGUAGUCAAGCAUUCGGUUUCUAUUAGAGCCCAGAGUAAGAUGGAACAAUUCUCAACAGAGGGUAGUUGUAUAUAGAAGAUAGCAUAACUUUGCUCCCAAAUCCUCGAAGCCUGAACAGAUUCACUGAAAGGGGCUUAUCAAAGUUUUAAUCUAACAUCCCUAAACUAUUUUAGACAUUUCAGCACCAUAUCUACUGAGUCAUAUAGCCCAGGUGACUGAGAAACUUGCAUGGCAGUAUGAAUUCUCCACAUAGCCUUCUCAUAUUCUAAGCCCAACUCAGCCUUUAAUUUUUUAUUGUGACAAAAAUAUACAUAAAAUUUACAUUUUAACCAUUUUUAAUUGUAGUAGUCAGUGGCAUUAAGUAUAUUUACAAUGGACAGCUAUAAUCUCCAGAGCACUUCUCUUCUCAUUUCGUUUUCUUACGUAUUCUGUAGAUAUUUUCUUUAUGUUUACCAUGGGGAUUGCAUCUAUCACCCUAAACUUUUAACCAUCUAUUUUAAAUUGACACCAAUCUAACUACAAUCACAUACAAAAACUCUUCUUUUUUACAGCUCUCCCAGCCUACUUUAUGCCACCAAUGUCACAAAUUAGGUAUUGUGUGCCCAUUAAUACAGAUUUAGAAUUAUUUUUAUACAUGUCUUUAAAAUCCUAUACUACAUGAAAAGCAGAGUUGCAAACAAAAAUUAUACUGUUUUUUAUAUUUUUCCAUGUAUUUAUCUUUACCAAAAACCUUCAUAUAUUCAUAUAGUGUCAAGUUACUAUAUAAAAUCUUCAAUUUCAACUUAAAGAACUCUGUUUACUGUUUCUUACAAGACAAGCCUUGUGGUAAUUAAUUGUUCAAGCUUAUAUUUAUCUGGGACUUUUUGUGUGUGUGUGGUGCUGGGGAUUGAACCCAGGGCCUUGUACAUGUGAAGCAAGCACUCUACCAACUGAGCUAUAUCCCAUCCUCUGGGAAUGUUUUAAUAUCCUCAUUUUUGAAGGACAUUGACAGAUAUAGAAUUCUUGGUUGAUAGCUUUUGUUUUUGUUCUUCUGUCAGUACAUUAUGUACAAAAUCCUACUGCCUUCUGGUUUCAAACUUUCUUUUCAGAAAUUGACUGAUGAUCUCAUUGACAACCUCAUAUAUAUGAUGAAUUGCUUUUCUCUUGUUGCUUUCAAAAUCCUUUGUCUUUUUCUAUCAACAAUUUGAUUAUAAUACCAUGGUGUAGGUCUCUUUGGAUUUAUCAUGCGUGGGAUUGGUUGAUAUUGAAUUUGUAGAGUUGUGAUUUCUGCAAACUUAGGGAGUUCCCUGCUAUUAUAUGAGUUGUUGAUAGACCUUUAUUUUAUUUAUUUAUUUGCGGUACUGAGAAUUGAACCCAGUGCCUCGCACAUGCCAGGCAAGUGUACUACUGCUGAACCUCAGCCCCCGUACCUGUGUUUUUCUCUUGCACCAUAACUCCUAUAAUGCAUCUAUUGGUCUGCUUGUUGGUGCCAUAUAAGUCCUUUAGGUUCUUUUCACUUUAUUCUUUUUUCUUCUUGUUCCUCGGCCUUGAUAAUUUCAAAUGCCCUAUAUUUGAGUUCCUUGAUUUUUUUCUUCUGCCUAUUCAAAUCUGUUGAGAGCCUGUGAAUUUUUCAAUUUGGUUGUUGUAUUUUUCAGUUCUAGAAUUUUCAUUUUGUUUAUAUGUUCUCUGGAUUUCCUUUAGUUUUUGUCCAUGUUUCCCUUUAGUUCUUUAAGCGUAUUUAAGAUUGUUGUUUUGAAGUCUUUUUCUAGCAAGUCUGAUGUCUAUGAUUCUUCAGUUAUAUUUUCUUCCCCUUUAUUUUCUUUCUUUGAAAAGACCUUGUUUUCCAUUUUUUUUUUUAAUGGGUUCCCCCCUCCCAAUACCUCAUAGGGUUUUCUGCUGAAAAUUGGGAAUUUGAGGAAACAAUCACUUCACCUAGUCUUUGCAAACUCGCCAGGGGUGUUUUUCACUAAUUAACAGAGUCUUUGUUCUAAAUUUUAGAAUCAGCCCAAGGAGAAAGGUCUUAUGAGGGCUUUCCUAGACAUGCAUCUUGCCUCAGCAUGUUUGUAACUCUUUUUUUAUUUCCUGAGGAUAUGACUGCUUUUUAAGUGUCAUUAUUUCCAAGUAAGUUUCUCUUGAGGCCUUUGAUGAUCUGUUGUGUGUCCUUGCCCAAAAUCUCUUACUCCAGCUAGCUAAGGACCAGUCUACCUCCCCAAGCAGCACCUAUUACUUCUACCUGCUUGAGAUCCAAUCUGGGAAAAAAGUCCUUCAGGCAUCCCUUAGUGUUUUAGAACAUUGAAAAUAAAGUCUGCUUUACUCUCUCUGAUGCAG